UCAGGUCUGGUAGGCACCGGGGCAGGCAGCAGGCUCCGGGCGGCUGGGGCAGGGCCUUUCCUUGGAGGCAUCUUUGAAGCAGACUUUCCACCCAGACGGGGCUUGGAGUCCCUGGGCUCGCAGCCCCCACCGGCUCCUGGGGGGAACCAACUCCCACGAGGGCCUGGAGCUUGGUGCUCCCGAGCGAGGUCUGUGCCUCGUGCUGGGACCGGCCACAAGCCCUCCAUGGAGCAGAUGAGGAGAUGGAGACUCAGAGAGGUGGAGAGAUCGACCCUGGGUCCCACAGCCUGGCCUGGCCUGGGACUCUGCCUUUUCUGGACACUAAAGGAAGAACAAACUGGAGGGGUGAGGUCAGGAGCCACGAGAUCAGGACAGUGGCUGCGGAGGUGCGGAAACAGGUGUCCCGGGAGCGCAGUGGCUCCCCGCACUCCAGCAGACGCGGCAGCAGCUUUCUGGGGGUCCCACUGACUGAAGUCAUUGAGCCCCUGGACUUCGAGGAUGUGCUCCUGAGCCGGCCACCAGAUGCCGAGCCUGGGCCCCUCCGGGACCUGGCUGAGUUUCCAGCCGACGACCUGGAGCUCCUGCUACAGCCCCGGGAAUGCCGGACCACAGAGCCCGGGAUCCCUGAGGAUGGAAAGCUGGAUGCCCAGGUGAGGGCCGCAGUGGAGAUGUAUACAGAGGAUUGGAUCAUCGCUCACAGGAGGUACCAGCAUCUGAGUGCGGCGUAUAGCCCCAUCACCACGGAGACGCAGCGAGAGCGACAGAAGGACCUCACUCGCCAGGUCUUUGAGCAGGACACUUCUGGGGAUGAGAGGUCCGGCCCAGAGGACUCGGAUGACCCCCGGCACUCCUCAGGCUCCCCAGAGGACACCCCGCGGAGCAGCGGUGCCUCCGGCAUCUUUGACCUGAGGAACUUGGCCGCCGACUCACUGCUGCCGUGGCUGCUGGAGCGCACAGCCCCUGAGGAUGUGGACCGGCGGAACGAGGCCUCUCGGCGGCAGCACCGACCCCGCGCCCUGCUGGCGCUCUACCCGGCACCUGAUGAGGACGAGGCCGUGGAACGCUGCAGCCGCCCCGAGCCGCCCCGGGAACACUUUGGACAGAGGAUCCUGGUCAAGUGUCUGUCGCUGAAGUUUGAGAUCGAAAUUGAGCCCAUCUUUGGCAUCUUGGCCCUGUAUGAUGUGCGGGAGAAAAAGAAGAUCUCAGAAAACUUCUACUUUGACCUGAACUCGGACUCCAUGAAGGGGCUGCUGCGGGCCCAUGGCACCCACCCCGCCAUCUCCACCCUGGCCCGCUCCGCCAUCUUCUCCGUGACCUACCCUUCGCCCGACAUCUUCCUGGUCAUCAAGCUGGAGAAAGUAUUGCAGCAGGGGGACAUCAGCGAGUGCUGCGAGCCCUACAUGGUGAUGAAGGAGGUGGACACGGCCAAGAACAAAGAGAAGCUGGAGAAGCUGCGUCUGGCGGCCGAGCAGUUCUGCACCCGCCUGGGCCGCUACCGCAUGCCCUUCGCCUGGACCGCGGUCCACCUGGCCAACAUCGUGAGCAGCGCGGGGCAGCCGGACCGCGACUCGGACUCCGAGGGCGAGCGCCGACCUGCCUGGACUGACCGCCGCCGGCGUGGGCCCCAGGAUCGGACAAGUAGUGGGGAUGACACCUGCAGCUUCUCUGGAUUCCGCCCAGCCACGCUAACUGUCACCAACUUCUUUAAGCAGGAGGCCGAGCGGCUCAGUGAUGAGGACCUCUUCAAGUUCCUGGCUGACAUGCGGCGCCCGUCUUCUGUCCUGCGGCGCCUGCGGCCCGUGACUGCCCAGCUCAAGAUCGACAUUUCCCCGGCCCCUGAGAACCCACACUUCUGCCUCUCCCCGGAGCUGCUUCAUGUCAAGCCCUACCCAGACCCCAGGGGCCGGCCCACCAAGGAGAUCCUGGAGUUCCCUGCCCGUGAAGUCUAUGCCCCCCACACGAGCUACAGGAACCUGCUGUACGUGUACCCACACUGCCUUAACUUCAGUAGCCGCCAGGGCUCCGUGCGCAACCUGACCGUGCGAGUGCAGUACAUGGCGGGGGAGGACCCCAGCCAGGCCCUGCCGGUCAUCUUUGGCAAGUCCAGCUGCAGUGAGUUCACCCGAGAGGCCUUCACCCCCGUGGUCUACCACAACAAGUCCCCAGAGUUCUACGAGGAGUUCAAGCUGCGUCUUCCGGCCUGUGUGACCGAGAACCACCACCUGCUGUUCACCUUCUACCACGUCAGCUGCCAGCCCCGGCCGGGCACAGCGCUGGAGACUCCCGUGGGCUUCACUUGGAUCCCACUGCUGCAGCAUGGCUGCCUGAGGACCGGCCCCUUCUGCCUCCCUGUGUCUGUGGACCAGCUCCCACCCAGCUACUCCGUGCUCACACCAGACGUGGCGCUGCCAGGCAUGCGCUGGGUGGACGGCCACAAGGGCGUGUUCAGCGUGGAGCUCACUGCUGUGUCCUCUGUGCACCCGCAGGACCCUCACCUGGACAAGUUCUUCACUCUGGUGCAUGUCCUGGAGGAGGGGGCCUUCCCGUUCCGCCUCAAGGACACCGUGCUGAGUGAGAGCACUGUGGAGCAGGAGAUGCGGGCCAGCCUAGCAGCCCUGCGCCUCGCCAGCCCCGAGCCCCUUGUUGCCUUCUCCCAUCACGUGCUGGACAAGCUCGUCCGUCUGGUUGUGCGGCCUCCAAUCAUUGGCGGCCAGAUCGUGAACUUAGGCCGUGGGGCCUUUGAGGCAAUGGCCCAUGUGGUCAGCCUUGUCCACCGGAGUCUAGAGGCUGCCCAGGAUGCCCGUGGUCACUGCCCACUGCUGGCUGCCUACGUCCACUAUGCCUUCCGACUGCCUGGCACCGAGCCCAGCCUCCCAAGUGGGACCCCUCCAGUGGCGAUGCAGCCUGCCACACUGGCCCGUGGCCCUGGCCGCCCCACCAGCCUCUACCUGGCCCGCUCUAAGAGCAUCAGCAGCAGCAACCCCGACCUGGCUGUGGCCCCGGGCUCUGUGGACGACGAGGUCUCCCGCAUCCUGGCCAGCAAGGGUAUCGACCGCUCACACUCCUGGGUGAAUUCUGCUUAUGCUCCAGGAGGCAGCAAGGCUGUGCUGCGACGGGCACCCCCUUAUUGCGGGGCCGACCCCAGACAGGCCAUCGACCGCAGCUCUAGCCGAACUUCUUCCUACCUUGAGGGCUCCUCCUUGGCCCCACCAGCCACCCAGCCGAGACCCACUGUGCAGAAGCUGCUGCACGAGGAGCUGGCUCUGCAGUGGGUGGUCAGCGGCAGUGCUGUGCGAGAGGCUGUCCUGCAGCAUGCCUGGUUCUUCUUCCAGCUCAUGGUGAAAAGCAUGGCGCUGCACCUGCUUCUGGGCCAACGGUUGGAUACGCCCCGCAAGCUCCGCUUCCCUGGGCGUUUCCUGGACGACAUCGCGGCCCUCGUGGGCUCUGUGGGCCUGGAAGUCAUCACCCGGCUAUACAAGGAUGCAGAGCUGGCCGAGCGCCUGAACGCCAGCCUGGCCUUCUUCCUCAGCGAUCUGCUGUCCCUGGUGGACCGCGGCUUCAUCUUCAGCCUGGUCCGGGCCCACUACAAGCAGGUGGCCACACGGCUGCAGUCGGCCCCCAACCCGGCAUUGCUGCUGACCCUACGCAUGGACUUCACCCGCAUCCUGUGCAGCCACGAGCACUACGUGACCCUCAACCUCCCCUGCUGCCCCCUGUCGCCCCCAGCCUCGCCCUCACCCUCUGUAUCCUCCACCACUUCCCAGAGCUCCACCUUCUCCAGCCAGGCCCCAGACCCCAAGGUAACCAGCAUGUUCGAGCUGAGCGGGCCGUUCCGACAACAGCACUUCCUGGCUGGGCUCCUGCUGACAGAAUUGGCGCUGGCCCUGGAGCCCGAGGCCGAGGGGGCAUUCCUGCUGCACAAGAAGGCCAUCAGCGCCGUGCAUAGUCUGCUCUGUGGCCACGAUGCGGACCCCCGCUACGCUGAGGCUGCUGUGAAGGCCCGUGUGGCCGAGCUGUACCUGCCGCUGCUGUCUCUUGCACGGGACACGCUGCCACGCCUGCAUGAUUUUGCUGAGGGCCCAGGUCAACGGUCAAGACUGGCCUCGAUGCUCGACUCAGACACAGAAGGGGAAGGGGACAUCGGAGGCACCAUCAAUCCCUCAGUGGCCAUGGCCAUCGCUGGUGGCCCCCUAGCCCCUGGCUCCCGGGCCAGCAUCUCUCAGGGCCCAGUGGCAGCUUCUCGCUCAGGCUGUCCCCUCUCUGCCGAGUCCAGCCGGACCUUACUGGUGUGUGUGCUGUGGGUCCUGAAGAAUGCUGAGCCAGCCCUCCUGCAGCGCUGGGCCGCUGACCUUGCCCUCCCUCAGCUGGGUCGCCUCUUGGACUUGCUAUACCUUUGCUUGGCUGCCUUUGAGUACAAGGGGAAAAAGGCCUUUGAGCGCAUCAACAGCCUCACGUUUAAGAAGUCACUGGACAUGAAGGCCCGUCUGGAGGAAGCCAUCCUGGGCACCAUUGGAGCACGACAGGACAUGGUCCGGCGGAGUCGUGAGAGGAGCCCGUUUGGGAACCAGGAGAACGUCCGCUGGCGGAAGAGCAUCACGCACUGGAGACAGACCUCGGACCGCGUGGACAAGACCAAGGAUGAAAUGGAACAUGAGGCCUUGGUGGACGGGAACCUGGCAACCGAGGCCAGCCUGGUGGUUCUGGACACACUGGAGAUCAUCGUGCAGACAGUGAUGCUGUCAGAGGCCCGGGAGAGCAUCUUGGGUGCAGUGCUAAAGGUUGUGCUGUAUAGUCUGGGCAGUGCCCAGAGUGCCCUCUUCCUGCAGCACGGCCUGGCCACACAGCGAGCCCUGGUGUCCAAGUUCCCAGAGCUGCUGUUCGAGGAGGACACGGAGCUGUGCGCCGACCUUUGCUUGAGGCUGUUGCGACACUGUGGCAGUCGCCUCAGCACCGUCCGCACGCACGCCAGUGCCUCGCUCUACCUCCUCAUGCGCCAGAAUUUCGAGAUUGGCAACAACUUUGCCCGCGUGAAGAUGCAAGUGACCAUGUCCCUCUCAUCCCUGGUGGGGACAACGCAGAGCUUCAGCGAAGAGCACCUGAGACGGUCGCUCAAGACCAUCCUCACCUAUGCCGAGGAGGACGUGGGGCUGCGGGACAGCACCUUCGCCGAGCAGGUCCAGGACCUGAUGUUCAACCUGCACAUGAUCCUGACGGACACGGUGAAGAUGAAGGAGCAUCAGGAGGACCCGGAGAUGCUCAUUGAUCUCAUGUACAGGAUUGCCCGCGGCUACCAGGGCUCCCCCGACCUGCGGCUGACGUGGCUGCAGAACAUGGCGGGGAAGCACGCAGAGCUGGGCAACCACGCGGAGGCCGCCCAGUGUAUGGUGCACGCCGCCGCUCUGGUGGCCGAGUACCUCGCCCUGCUGGAGGACAGUCGCUACCUGCCCGUGGGCUGCGUUUCCUUCCAGAACAUCUCAUCCAACGUGCUCGAGGAGUCUGCCAUCUCCGAUGACAUCCUGUCCCCCGACGAGGAGGGCUUCUGUUCCGGGAAGCACUUCACGGAGCUGGGGCUGGUGGGGCUGCUGGAGCAGGCGGCUGCCUACUUCACCAUGGGCGGGCUCUACGAGGCAGUGAACGAGGUCUACAAGACCCUCAUCCCCAUCCUGGAAGCCCACCGAGACUACAAGAAGCUGGCUGCCGUGCAUGGCAAACUGCAGGAGGCCUUCACCAAGAUUAUGCACCAGAGCUCUGGCUGGGAGAUGCAGCGCGUGUUCGGGACGUACUUCCGCGUGGGCUUCUAUGGUGCCCGCUUCGGUGACCUGGACGAGCAGGAGUUUGUGUAUAAGGAGCCGUCCAUCACGAAGCUAGCCGAGAUCUCACACCGGCUGGAGGAGUUCUACACGGAGAGGUUUGGGGAGGACGUGGUCGAGAUUGUCAAAGAUUCGAACCCCGUGGACAAGACUAAGCUUGACCCACAGAAGGGAUGGGGCCCUGCAGGGAGGCUGGCAAGCCCCAAGUGUGUGUACUGGGGCUGUGGGAGCCUCAUACCUGAGCCCCGCGUCCCAGGCCUACAUCCAGAUCACUUACGUGGAACCGCACUUCGACACCUAUGAGCUCAAGGACCGGGUGACCUACUUCGACCGCAACUACGGGCUGCGCACCUUCCUGUUCUGCACGCCCUUCACACCUGACGGGCGUGCCCACGGGGAGCUGCCGGAGCAACACAAGCGCAAGACUCUGCUCAGCACAGACCACGCCUUCCCCUACAUCAAGACGCGAAUCCGCGUGUGCCACCGGGAGGAGACAGUGCUAACACCAGUGGAGGUGGCCAUUGAGGACAUGCAGAAGAAGACACGGGAGCUGGCUUUUGCCACCGAGCAGGACCCGCCCGACGCCAAGAUGCUUCAGAUGGUGCUGCAGGGCUCUGUGGGGCCCACUGUGAACCAGGGUCCCCUGGAGGUGGCCCAGGUAUUUUUGGCAGAGAUCCCAGAAGACCCCAAACUCUUCAGGCACCAUAACAAGCUGCGGCUCUGUUUCAAGGACUUCUGCAAGAAGUGUGAGGAUGCCCUGCGGAAGAACAAGGCCCUGAUAGGACCAGACCAGAAGGAGUACCACCGUGAGCUAGAGCGCAACUACGGCCGCCUACGGGAGGCUCUGCAGCCGCUGCUCACCCAGCGCCUGCCCCAGCUGCUGGCGCCAACCACAGCGGGCCUCAGGAACUCCUUGAACAGAGCAAGUUUCCGGAAGGCCGACCUCUGAGCUCCGAGUGGCCUGAAGCCACAGCCAGAAGAACCAUCACCCUAGCCUCACUGUCUAUGCCUUCCCAGGAUUCUCCCUCCACUGGCACACUGGGCUGUGGAGUGAUCAUAUUCACACGGGGCUGGGCCCUCUGUUCCUCUGUUCCCAUCUGUGUGCACUGAUGCUUCUUACCUUUUCUAAUUUAAAGUGGUUUUCAUAA